GGUAAAGCAAAUACAUUUAACUGAGCAUACAGAAAACAUCUACCAAUAUUAUUUGUUAUUGUCACUCUAAAUGUAGAGAACUAGGCACUACGUACUUCUCAAUAUACUAGUGAAAGGUUUCGGGUUCGAAUCCUACUAAUGUCAUGGAGAUUUGAAAGACCACCACCUGCUGCCGGAGAAGGCAAACAUCGAGUGGAAUCCAGCAGAGGUUACGUCAUAGAAAUAAUUCUUAUAACUAAUACAAAUAAAGUAUGAUGCAGUCUGAGGAUGCAGUGAGGUUUUAAGUUAAAUGUUUUCCGAAUUGGAUCAUGGUUGGACAAAUUAGACGAAGGCCUUUAGUUGAACUGGUUAGACUGAACAGUUGGACCACUGUUAAUUUUUGAAAAGAUUUUUAUAAGAUUUGGAAGCUUUAAACGGAAAAAGGAGGCCUGCUGUAAAUCUUCAGAUCUAAAUCUAGAUAAGCAAGUAGAACCUAUCUAAAUUGCCAAUUGAGAGCGGUUAUGUUGAAAAGGCGACCGUCGGUCCACAUGAUGCUGAGACAGAAGCCACAACGCUGAUUUUUAGCUAGAACCAUGAGGCAUAGGAGGUAAGGUGGCUUGUGAUGUGAAAAAAAGCAAAUAAGUAAGUACAUACCUACAUUGUUUCCUUGUGUUUGUCUAUGGUUGACAAGACUUCAAGGCGAUCCACUGUGGAAGUCACAAGUCAGACAUAAUUACUUAUUAUUUAACAUCUAACUAGUAGAUUUCAUUGCAUAAUUAAUUAAUCAACGUAUGCCAAGAUUGCCAAGUCACUCAGUACCUACGAGUACCGACCUCUUUUAAGUAUUUUAAAUUUAGUUCAAAACAAUUAAUAUUGUUAAUAAAUGAUAUUGUUUUAAAUAAGUAUUACAUACAAUAAAUAUUUAUUAUACUUACUUAUUUAUUACACUUAUAAUUAUUAGACUUGAUUAUCAUUUAAAAUGAUUGAGAUAUCUCGACGUACAAUUGAAUUUAAAAUUUAAUGUCAAGUUUCGGCACAAAUGUAUGAGUGAAACCUGUGCCAUACCAUAGCGCACCGUACAGUCAACCUACUUGGUACAUACAGUCUGUUA